AAGCAGGGAAGGAACUAACCAAAAAGCACUCAACAUCAAAGAGGAUUAGCUUAAGUAAUGGCAAAGUUUUCAUGUACCUCCUCCUUCAUUCUUGCCAUCAUCCUUGUCUUGUUAGUUUCAUUGUUAAUGAUGAUGAAAGUAUACACACAGCUGAAUUGCGUAUCUUUAUUCGAUCCAAAUGGCUGCAAUCUCUCGAUUUGUGUGCGACAAGAAAUUUGGUGGGGUGGGGUUUUGUUGUUCACUAGCUUGUACUUAAUGUGGUUGACUACAUGGAGAUUCCAAGCAAGCAUGAACCUGAGGAUCCAUGCAAAAAUAUUGACGGGGUAUGACUAAUUAUAAUAAGUGCCAGCUGUCAACCUGACACACCACUACAAAUAAGCCACAUGGUUGUAACGACAGACUAUAAUUGAUGUUGUAGUCUCUCUCUACAUGUAUAUUUGAUGUUGUCAAUAAAUAAAGUAUUAUUGGGUUUUUUACUUUCUC